rnacentral:rRNA from 1 species
UACGUAGGGGGCAAGCGUUGUCCGGAAUCAUUGGGCGUAAAGAGCGUGUAGGCGGCCCGGUAAGUCUGUUGUGAAAGUCCAGGGCUCAACCCUGGAAAGCCGAUGGAUACUGCCGGGCUAGAGUUCGGAAGAGGCGAGUGGAAUUCCUGGUGUAGCGGUGGAAUGCGUAGAUAUCGGGGAGGAACACCUGUGGCGAAAGCGGCUCACUGGACCAUAACUGACGCUGAUGCACGAAAGCUGGGGGAGCAAACAGG